rnacentral:tRNA from 1 species
GGGGUUGUAGUUCAAUGGUUAGAGCACCGUCUUGUCACGUCGGAAGUUGCGGGUUCGAAUCCCGUCAAUCCCG